UAACUGGAGAGUUUGAUCCUGGCUCAGAACGAACGCUGGCGGCGUGCUUAACACAUGCAAGU
rnacentral:rRNA from 1 species